rnacentral:rRNA from 1 species
UACGAGGGGGGCGAGCGUUGUUCGGAAUUACUGGGCGUAAAGCGUGCGCAGGCGGUGAUGUAAGACAGAUGUGAAAUCCCCGGGCUCAACCUGGGAACUGCAUUUGUGACUGCAUCGCUGGAGUGCGGCAGAGGGGGAUGGAAUUCCGCGUGUAGCAGUGAAAUGCGUAGAUAUGCGGAGGAACACCGAUGGCGAAGGCAAUCCCCUGGGCCUGCACUGACGCUCAUGCACGAAAGCGUGGGGAGCAAACAGG